UGGAGGUGUCAAUCGACA
rnacentral:siRNA from 1 species